rnacentral:tRNA from 1 species
GGGGGUAAAGCUCAGUGGUAGAGCAUUCGACUGCAGAUCGAUUGGUUCCCGGUUCAAUCCCGGGAGUCUUCU